rfam:Myotis brandtii contig254806, whole genome shotgun sequence.
CUUGGGUGGGGGGGGUCCCUCAGCCCAGAUUACGAGAGGGUGCAGGCCAGGUCGAGGGACCCUACUGGUGCACG